GGAGGAUGCGAGCGUUAUCCGGAUUUAUUGGGUUUAAAGGGUGCGUAGGUUGUUCGGUAAGUCAGCGGUGAAACCUGAGCGCUCAACGUUCAGCCUGCCGUUGAAACUGCCGGGCUUGAGUUCAGCGGCGGCAGGCGGAAUUCGUGGUGUAGCGGUGAAAUGCAUAGAUAUCACGAGGAACUCCGAUUGCGAAGGCAGCUUGCCAUACUGCGACUGACACUGAAGCACGAAGGCGUGGGUAUCAAACAGGAUUAGAUACCCUGGUAGUCCACGCAGUAAACGAUGAUUACUAGGAGUUUGCGAUAUACCGUCAAGCUUCCACAGCGAAAGCGUUAAGUAAUCCACCUGGGGAGUACGCCGGCAACGGUG
rnacentral:rRNA from 1 species